GAUGAACGCUAGCGGCAGGCUUAACACAUGCAAGUCGAGGGGUAUGCUUCUUCGGAAGCAGAGACCGGCGCACGGGUGCGUAACGCGUAUGCAAUCUACCUUUUACAGAGGGAUAGCCCAGAGAAAUUUGGAUUAAUACCUCAUAGUAUUAUAGAAUGGCAUCAUUUUAUAAUUAAAGUCACAGCGGUAAAAGAUGAGCAUGCGUCCCAUUAGCUAGNGGUAAGGUAACGGCUUACCAAGGCUACGAUGGGUAGGGGUCCUGAGAGGGAGAUCCCCCACACUGGUACUGAGACACGGACCAGACUCCUACGGGGAGGCAGCAGUGAGGAAUAUUGGACAA
rnacentral:rRNA from 1 species